UUAAUUCAUUUGUACACUUGCCUUUUGCAUAAAAACACGCCUACCGAUUUAUAAAUUCCUUCUUUUGCAAAUAUUCGUGUGCAGACCUUAUCCGCUUACCCUACACCUUUUCUGUAAUUGUUUCCUUAUUAUGACAUAUUGUGACAUACUAAUAUAUAAGUAGAAAAUUUAUCGGUUAUUCGCCAUAUUUUUGUUUAUUUUUUUGCAAAUUUUACCUGAGCUUUAUUUCAAUUCGUUUUUUAUGUGCUUAUCAGCUAACUGCAACAAAAAUAAUCUUAUAUUUUAUGUGUAUUUUGUACACAUGAAAAAUCAGAGUAAUUCAGAGUAAUUACAUAUUUUGCAAAAAAAGACAUCUUUUUCCUUUAUUGAAACCUUUGUUCAUAUUGAUUUUUUUAUUGAUUUAAAAUAUAAUAGGAGAGAACUUAUAAUGAAAGAACAAAAAUAUAAAUUGAAAAAUGUAGAGUCUUUUGAAUUAAGAGAUAUAUUUGAAUGUGGACAAUGCUUUAGAUGGAACAAACAAGAAGAUGGAAGCUACACAGGAGUAUUUAAAAAUAAUGUGCUAAACGUAAAAAAGAAUAAAGACGAGAUUAUAUUUGAGGGAAUAUGUGAAAAUGAAAUACAACAAACAGUAGAAAAUUAUUUUGAUCUUAACCGUAAUUAUGAAAAAAUAAAAGAACAACUAUCAAAAAUAGAUCAAAAUAUGAAAAUGAGUAUUGAAUACGGAAAUGGAAUUAGAAUAUUAAAUCAAGAUUUAUGGGAAACUAUUAUUUCGUUUAUAAUAUCUGCUAAUAAUAAUAUUCCAAGAAUAAAAGGAAUUAUAGAAAGAUUAUCAGAAAAAUAUGGAGACGAAAUAAAAUAUAAAGGAAACAAAUAUUAUACUUUUCCAACCCCAGAGCAACUAAAAAAUGUUACAGUUGAGGAAUACAGGAAAUUAGGGUUAGGAUUUAGAGACAUAAGAUUAUAUGAAACCACAAAGAUGAUAUUAAAUAAACAAGUAGACAUAGAAAAUAUGAAAAAUAAUCCAAAUACAAUAGAAGUAAGAGAAGAAUUAUUAAAAUUAUCGGGAGUGGGACCUAAAGUAGCAGAUUGCAUUUUAUUAUUUUCAGAUUUAAAAAGAUUUGAAGUAUUUCCAAUUGAUGUAUGGGUAAGAAGGGUUAUGAAUGACUUAUAUAUAAAAAAUGAAGAUGAAACAAAAGUUAAUAAAAAACAAAUUGAAAAAAUAGCAAAUGAAAAAUUUGGAGACUUAGCAGGAUAGGUGGGAGACGGAGAAACACGGUCGUCAGGUCGUGGGGAGUCGCCCUUGGGAUACCACUCUUGAUGCUUCGGGUUUCUAACCUGCAGCCGUGAAUCCGGUUGGGGGACAAUGUCAGGUGGGCAGUUUGACUGGGGCGGUCGCCUCCAAAAGAGUAACGGAGGCGUUCAAAGGUCGGCUCAGUGCGGACGGAAAUCGCACAAUGAGCAUAAACGCAGAAGCCGGCCUAACUGCGAGACCCACAAGUCGAGCAGUAACGAAAGUUGGAGUUAGUGAUCAGGUGGUAGUGAGUGGAAAUGCCAUCGCUUAACGGAUAAAAGCUACCCUGGGGAUAACAGGCUGAUCUCCCCCAAGAGUUCACAUCGACGGGGAGGUUUGGCACCUCGAUGUCGGCUCAUCACAUCCUGGGGCUGGAGAAGGUCCCAAGGGUUCGGCUGUCCGCCGAUUAAAGUGGUACGCGAGCUGGGUUCAGAACGUCGUGAGACAGUUCGGUCCCUAUCUGUCGUGGGCGUUGGAUAUUUGAGAGGGGCUGACCUUAGUACGAGAGGACCGGGUCGGACGCACCUCCGGUGCACCAGUUGUUCCGCCAGGGGCAUAGCUGGGUAGCCGCGUGCGGGAGUGAUAAACGCUGAAGGCAUCUAAGCGUGAAACAUGCUUCAAGAUUAGAUAUCCCACAACUUCAAGUUGGUAAGGUCACUUGCAGACUACAAGUUUGAUAGGUCAGAGGUGGAAGCGCAGUAAUGCGUGCAGCUGACUGAUACUAAUAGACCGAGGGCUUGAACC
rnacentral:rRNA from 1 species